ensembl:lncRNA
AGCAGAUUGUAUGAAAAUAAUUUGCCAAAACACAAAAUAAUUUGCCAUAAGAGUGCAUUUGACUUUAUUAUCUAAAUGUCCAGAAGCCCAAAGGUGAUGUUGAAUUCAAAGUGUGUUUAUUCAAUACGUUCUGAGCGUGGCUGCAUUCUAGAUCGUAUAGCCUGAACUGUUUUCUAAAACUCCCAUCAGUAAUGUUAAUUUUGCUAGCCUAACCUUAGGACCUUUCUCACAGAAAGCCUAUUUAAAGCAAAGCCUAGCAUAUUGAACUGAAUGUCCUGCAAAGAAUGUGUCAGCGAGAAAGACCUUGAUUGGGUAUUAUUAAUUAUUAUACAUUUUCUUUACCUCUGUCCACCUGCUGAUUUUAUGAAUGAUAGACACCUCCAAGGUCAUAUUCGGAUAACAAGCGCUGUUUUUGCCCCUUCUCGUUUGAUUCAUUUCCUCAUGCUCUUCUCCCUCUCUUGGACAGAUGCUGCCAGGGGCAUUAGCACAGUGGCAUUGUGGUUGCUCUGCCAGCUCCCAUCAGCGCAUACCUGGCAUCAGACAAUCACCUUGACCCCCUGGUGAGAAAAGAAGGGGCUCUGGCUGUUCUCCAAGAUUCUCCUUCCUCCUACUCCAAUCAUGCCCAUGCAUGGACUCGACACAUGUGCAGCAGUCAAAUACAAAUUGUGACAAUCACCAAGCAGGUCUAUUACAGUCAGAUUUACCACCGCUGGGAAGCACAGCAGGUAACAUAGAGCUACAGUUGUUAUGCCAACUGUGCUGCAAAUACCUAAUUGCAGAAACACCAUCAAUUGGCUGCUGCUGCACAGGCGGAAAUGUGGUGUUUAAAGACCAGCCGAUCUGGAAAACGAGAGAACUGGGAACUGCUGACAAAACACUUCAGCUGUUCCAAAGUUUGAGACAAUGGCAUUACAGUGAAGAUGGCAGAUAUAAGCUCAUUAUGAGGUGAACGCCGCUGACCCCGAGCACCAACUCAUGAGGAUUUGGAUCGAGGACUUCUAGUCCAGUUGAUCUGAGGUGUCGGACAACGACGGCGCAGGGAGUCGAACGGAGGUGGACUAAAACGAAAAGUGCAAAAUGAGGGAUGAGGCAACAGAUGAUAACGUUGAUGCAACCAAGAUCAAACAUUCAUCUGAAGGUUUUAGUGGUUUUUGUGCAAUUUGGUAGCGGGCCGAGAGCUGAGGGAUGGAGAACACCGGAUGGAGAACUAAUAAUUAAUACUUUUUGUCUGGCUUUUCAGAAAACAUCUAAACAGCCCUUAAUCAAGAUAUCUGAGAAGAAAACUGCAUAAGAUGAAACAAUUGAGUCACUUUUGCAUGCAAUAUUUCUGCACACAGAAAUAAAUAAAUAAAUGUGCCACAUUU